UACGAAGGGGGCGAGCGUUGUUCGGAAUUACUGGGCGUAAAGGGCGCGUAGGCGGCGCGAGAAGUCAGGCGUGAAAGCCCCGGGCUCAACCUGGGAGGUGCGCUUGGGACUCUUGUGCUUGAGUUCGGGAGAGGAGCGUGGAAUUCCCAGUGUAGAGGUGAAAUUCGUAGAUAUUAGGAAGAACACCGGUGGCGAAGGCGGCGCUCUGGACCGAGACUGACGCUGAGGCGCGAAAGCGUGGGGAGCAAACAGG
rnacentral:rRNA from 1 species